rnacentral:rRNA from 1 species
UACGGGGGGGGCAAGCGUUGUUCGGAAUUACUGGGCGUAAAGGGCUCGUAGGCGGCCAACUAAGUCAUACGUGAAAUCCCUCGGCUUAACCGGGGAACUGCGUCUGAUACUGGAUGGCUUGAGUUCGGGAGAGGGAUGCGGAAUUCCAGGUGUAGCGGUGAAAUGCGUAGAUAUGCGGAGGAACACCGAUGGCGAAGGCAAUCCCCUGGGCCUGUACUGACGCUCAUGCACGAAAGCGUGGGGAGCAAACAGG